rnacentral:lncRNA from 1 species
GUGCUCACCGGCUGGUUCCAUUAUUAAAUCCCUGUUGUUGAAAGAAUUCUCCCUCGAGCCCUCUUCGAAGCUGUGGCAACCCUCAGUGGCAGUUCGGCAGCCGCCGAACUUGCAGGCCACUGUUUCCCCCCUCCUACUCCUCUCGAUCCGUAGCAUCCUCUCGAGAUUGACCUCCGGGGCAGAAGCCCCGUUGGGAGAACUCCUCGAUAGGGCUCGAAAGACUGAAGGUGGCAGGGAACCGACAGAGAUGGCAAAGAUUGGCACGAAGAAUGCUUGGGGUUGAAAAGGGCGCCGAUGGGUGGCUAAACUCUCAGGCAA